rnacentral:rRNA from 1 species
GACGAACGCUGGCGGCGUGCCUAAUACAUGCAAGUAGAACGCUGAAGGAAGGAGCUUGCUCUUUCCGGAUGAGUUGCGAACGGGUGAGUAACGCGUAGGUAACCUGCCUGGUAGCGGGGGAUAACUAUUGGAAACGAUAGCUAAUACCGCAUAACAGUAGAUGUUGCAUGAUAUCUACUUAAAAGGUGCAAUUGCACCACUACCAGAUGGACCUGCGUUGUAUUAGCUAGUUGGUGAGGUAACGGCUCAACAAGGCGACGAUACAUAGCCGACCUGAGAGGGUGGUCGGCCCACCUGGGACCGGGACCCGGCCCCGAACCCUACGGGAGGCAGCAGUAGGGAAACUUCGGCCAUGGACGGAAGUCUGACCGAGCCACGCCGCGGGAGUGAAGAAGGGUUUCGGAUCGUAAAGCUCUGUUGUAAGAGAAGAAAGAGUGUGAGAGUGGAACGUUCACACUGUGACGGUAUCUUACCAGAAAGCGACGGCUAACUACGUG